UAUCUUCCUUCAACCCGUUUU
rnacentral:piRNA from 1 species